rnacentral:tRNA from 1 species
UCCCUGGUGGUCCAGUGGUUAGGACUUGGCACUUUCACUGCCCGGGCCCAGGUUCAAUCCCUGGUCAGGGAA